UUGAUCAUCUAAGGCUUAAGGUGCAGCUCCAUCCCAUGAAGUUAUCUAGGGACCAAGAGUUCGCCAUCUUAUUCCUCUGCUAUCAGUAGAGUGACCUCCUUUUUGGCUUGGAUGAUGCUGUGUCAGUGCCAUGUCUAUACUGCAGUCUACAGGAAAAGUGGAAAAAGAGAUGAUGUCAUGGUGUGGAGAUUGAUUGUUAGGACAGCAGCAAAGAGCAGUGUUCUGGUAUGUUGUUUCUGAAGUGGAUUCCCACCAGAAUGGAAUUUCCUUCAUGAAGGUGGCAGUGAAAUUGAAGAGUUCUUCACGCAGAGAUGGCUGUGUGAUUCUGAACGUGCCUCCUAUUCAUCUCCUGGAAGAGAACGAAUUUCCGUGACUUUGCACUAAGCCUCAUGGCUGGGGUUACCACACGAGGCAAGGUCUAUUUCAGGAAAAACAACAACAAAGGGAAAAUGAGUUAUUUUCUCUUUGAAGCCCCCAAAAAGGGAAUUUUCUUGUUCUUAGUGUCCCUUGCCACUCACAACUGGUGAUUCCCAGAGGCUCUGCUGAAGGGUCUGCUGAGGACAGGGCUGUGCUGAGCACUUUCUAAUGGAGCUGAGGAAAGUUAGACCUGAAGCGCCUGUGCUGCCUGAUUCAGGGGCCAGGUGUUUGAGCCUGAGCACAGCAGCUUCACUUCACAGGUGCACGUGCCUGGAGGAGGGGGAAGAGACACCCUGCGCUGCUAACCUGGUGUCUUUCUCUAAUCAGCAGGGGGCAUUUUCAGGAUAUCUUGAACCAUCUUUUCCCAUUCCCUCCAGUGAGCUGGUUCUGCUGCCCUGGCCCUUGUCUGAGAAGGGCAGACAGCUUUCCAAAUGCCCUUCCCCAUCUCCCUGACAGCCCACUGCAGGCCUCACCUCUGGGCUGGGAUAUGCCUCCUCUCUGGUCUCCCUGGCUGUGCUCAAAUCCAUGCUCCACACUGGAGCCCAAGUGUCCUACAGACAAAGCUCAAAAUCGUUUCUCCAUCUCAUGGCAAUGCCUGAUAAAAUACAGGACACCCAGCUAGGUUUAAAUCUCAGGUAAAGAACGAAUAACUUUUAUUUUAACUUGGGACAUAUUUAUACUAAAAAUCAAUUGCUGUUUAUGUGAAAUUAAACAAUAAGUACUGUGUGUCCUAUAUUUUUUAAUGCUAAAUCUGGCAAACCAGGACACUUAAUACCCUGACCCAACCUUGCUUUUACCUCUUUGUGUGUUACACAUUCUCUCCGUUGUUCAGCUCCUUGCAGUUCUGCUGCAGGGACUGCUCUGUCCGGAUUCCCCAGAGCAGGCUCUAUGACAAGGGCCUGAGUGCAAGCACUUCAUUUGGGUGGCAUAGAAAACACCAGUAGGGAGAGGGAAAUGGCACAGGAAAAGGAACCCAGUGUUCACAGGGUGCCUGGAGCUGGAUUCCUGGGGAAACGCCACCAUAAAACAUACCAGAAUCAUCCCACCUGAGGAGAGAAGAAACCCGGCACUUACAUAUCAACUGCUUCACUCUAUCUUUGGCUGAGGGAUGCUCUUAGGGGUGGCAUUUCUCUCUAGCUUUUUAGCAGCAUUUCUUAAAAGACAGAAGAAUGGUGUCUCUGGGGAGGGUGGGGGCAGCGUGUCUGUCUCUCAGGUGGAGGUGCAGGGGAGUGCCCAGAAGAACAAGAAAAUGGGCAGGCUCCCAGGACGCUCACUGGCCAGGCAGCCACAGCAUUGCUGCACACCAUACUCCUCCCACCUCUCCACUGCACCUUGGUCUAAUUACUCUGUGGUAUUUAGAUGUCACUUAGGGAGGAAUCCUGUACCACCCCCACCCACCCUCUCAUACACUUGAAAUUCAAGUGCUGUCCACAUCCUUGUGCUAAUGCCUUUUACAACUCUUAGAAAUUUUCUACUGCAAUGUUAAAGAAAGCUUUUCAGACAAUUUAGUUGUGAGUAUGUGUCAAAGUUUUAUUUUAACUUUGCUGUAUAAAAAGGCCUAUGAGAGUUACUGGCCAAUUUAAGGAUUUUUUUUUUUGUAAGAAAUUUUACAGUUAAAAGAAAAGAAAAAAAAAAGAAUGUUUGGUUAAAGGUUACUAGACUUUUGUCUAAUAGUUAUCAGGAUGGCAGGUCAUUUGAAUCCCCAGAACCAAUUAUUAUCCACUAUAACUUAUAGGAAAUUUAUUUAAAAUUUAAUCAAGACUAAUACAUCCUUCCAACAGGACAUGAAUUACAUCAUUCAAAAUAUGUUCUUUCUCAGAUUAGGUUUGGAACUCUUUUUCUUUUUUAAAACAGUGGUUACAUAUUUCCUUCUGUCCUGCUUCCAUCUAAAUCCUUGAAGUUGGUCAUUAUAUUUGCUUUUUGUUGCAACUGGUGCAUUUGCAGAGCCCUCAAUACAAAACUUAGUGGGUACCAUAUGAAUGUAUUUGAAUAAAUUUUAGUAUUCUGGAUACUAAUAAU